CAGAGCAGCCCCUGGUGUUCUUUUUGUCAUGAUUACCAGCACUGUGGUAGCACCCACAGCAGUGCAUGGUGCUGAAGUUACACACAGCAGGUGCCUAUCAGUGGGCAUCCCUCAGCAGUGCAAUUCUAUUGCUGGACAAACACAAAAAACCCAACCUAGGGAUUUUCGGGGUAAUGGGAGACAGAGCCUUUGGUGGUGCUGAACUGGGUCCUAACAUGAGGCAAGAUGCAAAGACAGCUCCACGGAGGAAACGAAGGGGGCGGAGGAGAAAGGGAGGAGCGCUCCAGACGUGCUGUAAUAUAAACCAACAGCACACCCGCCCUGAUGGCUGCCAGUCUGGGCGCUUUUCAGACACACCUGGUAAUGGAGGUAAAACCCAGAAGCCCAGGCAGACCGAGAGCCCACCACAGGGUGACCCAUCUCUUAUGUGGCUCAGUAGCUCUGCAGCCUCUGCUCACCCCAGUGCACGUGAAGAGGACACUUGCAAAGAACUUGCAGUUAUCCACUGGCUCCUGGAGCAGCUUUGGAUGCUAACAGAGAGCUAAACAGCCUUGAGCAUCCCUCAUGCCUGUGAGUGACUGGCUCCAAGGUAAUCAUUUUGUGGAUGUGUGAGUUUUAGUUCACACCAUCUAGUACAGGUGCCCAGGAGGGGCUGUAGGACAUGUGCAACAGCCCUUCACAGACCCUUUUGUCAGAUAUUAAUGGGUUACCAUGGCCCUGGCUUCCAGGUCUCCAUUCAGUUCACACUCUCAGGCAGUGUGAGUUGUGCACCUCUACCACUAGUAACACUGGAGCAGCUGGCCACUUCUCUAUCACAAAUAUACACUUGUUUUUAUAGCAAAGAGAUUGAGCCUACUUCCAUCCUAGUAUGAAAUGAAAAAUACUCACCAUUUUUCUUUUUUCAGUCUUGCCUCUGGCCUCUCCACCAGCAUUAUAUGGCAAUAAGGACCUAGCUUCAGUCCUCUGAAAUGUCUUCUGCAUCCCAAGAAUGUGCUGCCCUUCUCCCCUGUCCCCAAAACAUUAUCUUCUUUUUUUUAAAUUGUGAGUUAGAGUGAGGCCCUGGGAGAGACAGGCAGCCUGGGAAGGCUCAAGGCUCUUCUUUUCCAUAUUUUUCAUGGGGCUGAGGACAUCUACAGUCCUAGCCUGGCCCCAGGCUAGGGGCCAAAAAAAUAAGAUGGGUGGAGAGCCUGGCUAACACCUGCUGCAACCCUACCAUGUCUGGCAGGUGUUGGGAGAGGCUUGGGAGGCCAGACACCCUCUCCAUGAUGGAAUGGGGUUACAAGAUCCCAUGUCAAAUGAAGCUGUGGCUAAUGCAAGCUCUGUCUGGGGCUGCUGUAUUGAAGCUGCAUUGAGCAGUGAGCUCCUGGUGCCACUGAAGCACUCUGCCUUUCCCAAACUUCCUGGGAAGUGUUUUGAACUUUAUUUUUAAAAGUGCAAUUAAUCACAGAGCAGGGCUUGAAAUGAGUCCAAGUGCAAUAAAAGCAGCAGAGCCUGCUCAGCCCAGUGAGCAUUGUUCACCACGGCCUGACUUCAGGCAUCAGGAAACUUCCAGAUGUAACUUUGCCGCUCCUGGCUCCUGCAGGAAUCUUAAAUGCUUCCAUCUGUACAGGGGAAAGACUUCGGAAAAGCAGUUCUCCCUCUCCUUUUACUUACAUUCCUCCAAGCAGCAAGCGUUAUUAUCCCACAGCCUCUGCAAUUUCUGCUGGCUUCACCCUCAUUGAUGGAAUACUGCACCCCGCCAUUCCUUGCUGCUCCCACCCCCUGGCAGGGAGCAUCCUGACGGAGCCCCUCCAUGGGGCGAGGACAGGCCCCUCCAUCUGCUCCUGUUCUGCCUGUGGUUUACAGUACGCUACAGGAAGGCAUUUUCUCACGCUAUUAAGUUUUCACUAGAUGUGGAGGGGGAUCAGGAAUGCCUCGGAUGGCGUAAAAAUUCCCUUCUUGGUUUGGUUAUUAGGAUCUAGAGGCAGCAGCAGGCAAAAUUAUAGCCUGCAUGAAAUCUGAGUCUGCUGCUCUGCCCUGGGUGAGGAGUGCACCCCGUCCCCAUUCCAGGUACACUCAGAACCUCCUGGGCCAGCCCCAGAGCCUCUUCAGUUCCUCCUCAGGCCUCCAAACGCAAGAGUAGCUUGUACCUAUGCAAGCUCCCUGUUUAUGCCCACAGUCUGAGGGUCAGGCAUCUUUCUGGCUAAAAGGCCCCAAAAUAGCACUUCCAGCUUAGCUGCUGCCCUGGGGAAGUUGUCAUUCACUCUGUCUGCUGUUUUCUUUCCAAGAAGAGGCUGCUCUUUGCUGCAAGUUUAUCACCUUUUCCUCUUUCCCAAAUACUUCUAAGUAACAGCCCCAUGCACUAGCUCUGUAGAUGCUCCUAAUCAUCCCAGUUACAUUUAGCACUUACAGAGCUCCAUGCUUGGUGCUCUGUGAAGCAUUAAAACUAUCUCACAAAUGUAAAUUAAUUGAUUUUUUUCACUCUCAGAGGAUGGAGGUGAGCAGGGGCUACACUACUUUUGCAGAUGAGGAGGCUGACACAGGAGAGGUCCGUGGCUUAGCACAGGGCCACACAAGGGGUGAGUUAGAUCAGAAAGCUCUGGCUCAGAAACUGUGCUCAAACCACCAAACAUCAGGGCAGAGGAAAAUGGGAAGGAGCAGGUCCAAACCAGAAGUGAGCAGUGCCCAGGACUAUAAAUAGUUUCAUCUGACACAGCUUUUGUGAAGUUCGUGUAAAACGCAGAAAAGGCUGGUGUUGCCCUGGGGUUUAUGGCUUGUUUCUUUCCAAAACCUCACAGAUCACUCAGCCCCCCAGUACCCAGAGGAGUCCUGGAAAUGAAAGCCCAGUGAAGCAGUUUGUGACCACACAAACCUUGUCUGUGGCCAGGGCUUUGGGUGCUAUCACAACAAAAGCAGUAACAAAGUACAGCUGCUCUGAAGCAAACCUGCACACGAGCCUUGGAAGAGUGGAGCAGUGAGUGAGAAACAAGGAGGAGCAGGGGAGAGAGGAACGGAGAUGCUUGACAAGUGGAGCUCUGGUAAUCCAGGAUCUCUGGGGAAAGCUAAAAUGCAGUACUGUUUACCUGACUGCAGUAUGACUGAUGUGUUUGCACCCAAACGCAGAGCGGAUGUGUUCAGAGAUGUAGCUGCCUGCCCUGUGCUCCUGGCUGGGAACAAACCAAAGCCCUGCUGUUUGGAGAGGGGGGAAUGUGACUCAGCAUGGAGGAGCUCCAGCCAUCCUGCCAGCAUGCCAGAGCUGCUGUCCUCAGGCUGUACGUGCCCCCAGGCCAUGUCUUCUGAGAGGAGGGAUGUUUUCAUAGACACUGUGCCAGAGCAGAGGCAGGAUGCAGAGACACACAAGUUACUCAUCCUGGCUUAAACCCCACAGGAUGUCUCAAGUGACUGAACCCUAGGCUGAAAUAGAGACUUAAACUAUCAGUUUGUGGAUUUUGGCAAUAAGUCAUUGUCUGCAGGGAGGGCCAGCAUGGGAUGACCAAGUAGAUAACCCCAAAUGACAGCAGAAAAAGCUGCCAGAUGGAGUUGUCUGUUCCUCAGGGAUUUUGGCAUCACUAGCGGCUGUCAAUGCCCAAGCCCUAUUAUGGCAAUAUCAGAGCAGAGAAAUUGUGGUCACAGGAGGAACAAUGCUUAUUUUUCGCUCAUCUGUGCUGGGUGAUUUUUGUAGCUGUUGAUAAAAUUUUGAAAUCAAGAAGUUUCUGUCUUCUCCAUUUUUCUGCCAGUGCAGCUUCUGUUUCUGAGAACAGUCCCCAGAUGGGGAGCAGUGGAAAUGAGAUGUGAAAUGAGAAUUCGGAUUUCACAUUAGAAUCAGAAAUUAGGAACAACAGUUAGCUCACCUCUCCACUUUCUAUGCAGGACAAAUUAAUUCCCUCAAAUUUUCAAUGCUUUCAGUGUUAUUUGCUUAAUCUGAUGGAACAGAUCUUUUAUUAGGAAAUUAAAAUGUUGUAGCAUGAUUCAUCAGGAAGCAGAUAAAAUAUAUUUAAGGAACUAUGUUAAAUUAUGAUAUGUCUAAACAUGUGUAAUAAAGCAAGGAUUUUCAUAUCCAAUUUAUACAGAAGAUUGUAAGAGAUUUAUUGGACCAGACAUUCUAAUGCAUGUUAAUUUUGGGUGUAAUAACAGAAAUGCAAAACAAACUGGAAGACAACACCUGUGACAGUUGUGACAUAGUGGAAAUAAUUCAACACCACCCGUUAAAGCUGAACAAAGAGAAAGGAAACUGAGAAGUCAGGAAGAUGAUACCACAGAAGAAGAGAAUGAGCUGUUGCUCCUCCAGAAUCAGACAUGGUUUCUGUCUUUGCCAUUUCCUAGCUCAUUACCCCUAGAACAGACUCCAGCUGUAGUGCAUUGACUGAGCAGAGUCAGCCAUCCUCAGCUACCUUCUCAUCAAGUCUUUCCCUAGAAACAAAAUCAAAACCACUUGUGAUAGCUCUGUUAACUGCCAGCAAUCUGCUGACUGGGUUUGGAAGCCAUCACCCUCACCUUCCAGGUUGUAAGAUUUUCCUCACUUGUUUGCCCUUUUCCUUGGAUUCUUGCUCUGGUUUCACCCAUAUAUCCAACAGUAUCACAGACAGCAGUAUCUCCACAGUUGCACAGACUGCUGUCCCAAGGGGGCUCACUAAUAUCUGUGUAGAGUAGGCAGGAUUAUGAUGUUUUGAAUGCUUUCUAGUGCUGGUUUUAUUUACAGUGCUCCUCGUUUCAAGGAUUACUUGUGAUUUCUUGUGACUGAUAGUGUUACAGAUGUUGCACUGGAGCUGUGAUGGCAGCUGGAGUGCACAAUGUGAGAACUGAAAUUCUGUUUAAAGCUCCUGUAGUAACCCAGGAAAAUAAUAUUCAUUUGUCUCCCAUUCCAUUCAAAUACACAUGUGUGGACACUAUGGCCAGAUGGCAGCCUGUACAACAUUUAUUUCUGCAGCUCUCUGAGAUACUUUACAGGAGAUUUUCUUUAGGAUCCACAUUGAAUGGUAUUGCUAUACUAAACUUGUUCAGCUGGCCUGAUUCACUCCGGUGAGAUAUGUAUAAGGGUAUGUUUCAAACAUUUUUUCAUGGGAAGAAAAAAAAUAAAAAAGAAAAAUACAUCCUAGCUUAUUGCUGCAUUCUGCAAAGGUCUGUUCUCUUCACCAGGGUUUAUUUUGGCAGACCAGAGUGCACAGAUCUGCCUGUGGGUGUCAUUUCCAAGCAUGUUUGCUGUUGAAAUGAUCGCAUCUGAUCCCUUCCUAUGCAGAAGGCUGGUUCCCAUGAUCUUUUCAGAAGUGGGAGAGAAAUAAAAAUGUGAUUCAAACACCACAGUGCCUUGUAUAAAGGUACCCUAUGGCCACGCUUCAGGACAUGUCUCUGCCUGCAUGGGGUCAAAUAGAAUGACAUGCAUAAAAAUCUGGCCCUCAUUCUCUCUAGGUUAUAAACCCACAAAACCUGGUUCAAGCUUAGAAAAUCUUUUGUUAUCUCUGUUCCAGGGGAUGGUUCCUGUGGAUUAUUGAGCAAUUCAGUUGCUCAGGAAGCCUAACAAAGUGCUAGAGCCCCUCAGCCCUGAGGUACCUGUGCAAAGGGUCCUUCACCUGCUCAGCCACUCCCUGCUGUGAGAUGACAAGUGCUCUGCUAUUGCCUGAGCUCCUUCUCAUUAAGGACUGUCAUAGGCAUGUGUUUGUUUGCCCAAAC